rnacentral:rRNA from 1 species
UACGAAGGGGGCUAGCGUUGUUCGGAUUUACUGGGCGUAAAGCGCACGUAGGCGGUUUGUUAAGUGAGAGGUGAAAUCCCAGAGCUCAACUCUGGAACUGCCUUUCAUACUGGCAAGCUAGAGUCCGGAAGAGGUAAGUGGAACUCCUAGUGUAGAGGUGGAAUUCGUAGAUAUUAGGAAGAACACCAGUGGCGAAGGCGGCUUACUGGUCCGGAACUGACGCUGAGGUGCGAAAGCGUGGGGAGCAAACAG